rnacentral:rRNA from 1 species
AGCGAACGCUGGCGGCAGGCCUAACACAUGCAAGUCGAACGAACCUUUCGGGGUUAGUGGCGGACGGGUGAGUAACACGUGGGAACGUGCCUUUAGGUUCGGAAUCACUCAGGGAAACUUGUGCUCAUACCGCAUGUGCCCUUCGGGGGAAAGAUUUAUCGCCUUUAGAGCGGCCCGCGUCAGAUUAGCUGGUUGGUUGAGGUAAUGGCUCACCAAGGCGACGAUCAGUAGCUGUUCGGUGCGGAUGAUCAGUCACAUUGGGACUGAGACACGGCCCAAACUCCUACGGAGGGCAGCAGUGGGGAAUCUUGCGCAAUGGGCGAAAGCCUGACGCAGCCAUGCGGCGUGAGUGAUGAAGGUCGUAGGAUUGUAAAUUUCUUUCACCGGGGACGAUAAUGACGGUACCCGGAGAAGAAGCCCCGGCUAACUUCGUG